UGAAAUGCAUGCAAAACCAGUGCAAGGAAAUAUUGUCGCUAACAAAACAAACAUUAUUUUACUGUUGCCUUCAGCAUGAAUCCGGACUUGUCAAUGUUUUUCCGUUUGCAGAAGAUUAAGUUGAAAGUUUAUUUUAUUAAUGUCAUUUAAGCAAACAGGCAUUGGUAACCAUGACACCAGUAAUCCGAAUGCACUUAAAUUUUUGAUGAAUUUUUUAUGGAAGCUCAUUUUAAUGUGGAAUAUAUCAGAACAUUGUUGAUUUAUUUAUCCAUGUGAUUUUUCGUGGAUCAAAAUGGUUUUUUUAACACAUUUGAUCUACCGUAGGCAUUGAUACUUUGUGCAUUAUUUAAAUGUUCAAAAUUUAUAUUAUUAAUGCUAUCAGACAUUGAAUUGUACUAUAAGCUUAUUCAGUUUCAGUAAGAAUUUUUUGGCUUGUAAUUACUGGUUGUCUUGUUACAGUACAACAUGGACCUUUUCACUCAAUGCUUCUGUUGGCUAAAAAUAACUUGACCAUUUGGGCAUUUCAGUUUUGUAGAAUUUUGAGAUAAUGUAUUUUGAUUUCCUCUUUCCCACUUUAGGGGGACUUGAUAUAAGGUUUAGAUAAGUAAUUAAGCUUAGGUGAUUAACUGAUAAACAAUUUCACUGACCAGCUAAUACAGUAAAACUCGGUUAUACUGUAGUCAUAGGGACAAGUAGAUUUACUUUGCUAUAUCGGAAUUCAUUAUAACCUUAAAAUUGUGCAAGGAUUUGUUAAAGAUUUUGUCAGGUAUUCUAUGAAACUUGUUUUAUCUAAGAAUUCGCUCUAGCCAUGUUCUACUAAACGAGUUUUACUGUAGUUCGGUAACUUGCCAUUUCUGUUGGUUGGUGCUGUGUUCAAUCUCUGUUUCUUUCUGUUGAAGUGAUGAAAUGGGUCAUCAGGUCACAAGAGAGAGUUUUUAUACUUUUAUAUCUUAUUUGCUUUUCUGUGAUACAUUAAGCAUUGUAAUGUACUCCUAUCCUUUAUUUAAAUGUCAAUAAACUGAAUGCGUAUAUAAUUC
rnacentral:sRNA from 1 species